rnacentral:rRNA from 1 species
UACGGGGGGGGCAAGCGUUGUUCGGAAUUACUGGGCGUAAAGGGCUCGUAGGCGGCCAACUAAGUCGGAUGUGAAAUCCCCAGGCUCAACCUGGGAACUGCAUCCGAUACUGGAUGGCUUGAAUUCGGGAGAGGGAUGCAGAAUUCCAGGUGUAGCGGUGAAAUGCGUAGAUAUCUGGAGGAACACCGGUGGCGAAGGCGGCAUUCUGGACCAAUAUUGACGCUGAGGAGCGAAAGCCAGGGGAGCAAAGCGGG